UACGGAGGGUGCAAACGUUGCUCGGAAUCAUUGGGCGUAAAGCGCACGUAGGCGGCGCGUUAAGUCGGGUGUGGAAGCCCUGGGCUCAACCCAGGAAGUGCAUUCGAAACUGGCGCGCUUGAAUAUGGAAGAGGGUCGCGGAAUUCCCGGUGUAGAGGUGAAAUUCGUAGAUAUCGGGAGGAACACCAGUGGCGAAGGCGGCGACCUGGGCCAAUAUUGACGCUGAGGUGCGAAAGCGUGGGGAGCAAACAGG
rnacentral:rRNA from 1 species